rnacentral:rRNA from 1 species
AUGCAAGGGGCGGAUAGGAGCUGGAAAGGUGGAGACAAUGGAUUCCGUUUUGAAGCCCAUUGGUUACAGGAGGAGGGAUGUGAGGAUGUCAUCAGAGAAGCAUGGGAGCAAAGCUGGGGAAGGAGAGACGGAGGGGUAGCGCAUGCUUUAAGAGAAGUGGCUGGGAAGCUGCGGACUUGGGACAGAGAAGUGGUCGGGGCAGUGGAGGGCCAGCUGAAAAAAGCUAAAGCGGAGCUGGAACGGUGUAUGGCAGCGAGAGUUUCGCAGGAAAAAAUAGAGGAGGAAGCUAGACUUAGGUGUGUGGUGGAUGAGCUGGAGGAGAAGAAGAACACGAUGUGGAAGCAGAGAGCACAUGUUUGGUGGCUGCUAGAUGGAGAUAGGAACACACGGUUCUAUCAUACUGUCGCUUCGGCGAGGAAAAAAGCGAACCGUAUUAAGGAGUUGAGGAGGGAGGAUGGAACCGUGGUGGCGGAGGAGGAUUUAACUAACUAUGUGUCCUCUUUUUUUCAGGAUCUUUUCACCACCUCGGCGGGCAACCGCGUUGAUGAACUCAUCGCGAAGGUCCAGCCACGUGUGACAGCUGAAAUGGCAAACUUUCUUGAUGCUGUAUUCACACGAGAGGAGGUGAAGGCAGCUCUAGACCACAUCGGCGAUCUUAAAGCUCCGGGGCCUGACGGCAUGCCUUCUAUUGUGUUCAAGCGUCAUUGGCAUUUCAUGGGGAUUAUGUGGUUGACGAGGUCCUGGCCGUGCUUAAUGGAGGGGACAUGCCGGCAGGGUGGAAUGACAUAUUGGUAG